CGCGGCGGGGAAUGAAAAGGGAACGCAGUGAAAGUCUGCGACAAUACCCGUUGCUGUGAGUUUCCGCUCCGUGAAGGAGCAGAGAGGUUUCGCAAUCUUUGCCACUGGCCGCAGGCGCGGCCGGGAAGGCGCGGAACCGGAACGAGUCAGAAGACCUGCCUUUCGCAUU
rnacentral:ncRNA from 1 species